rnacentral:rRNA from 1 species
GACGAACGCUGGCGGCGUGCUUAACACAUGCAAGUCGAACGGGGAAGCGCCUUCCUUUUUGGUGGGUGUGGAUGAGUGGCGAACGGGUGAGUAACACGUGAGUAACCUGCCCCCUUCUUCGGGAUAACCGCAUGAAAGGGUGGCUAAUACGGGAUAUUCUGGGUCUGUCGCAUGAUUGGUCUGGGAAAGAUAUUGUUUCGGUGGGGGAUGGGCUCGCGGCCUAUCAGCUUGUGGGGUGGGUGAUGGCCUACCAAGGCGGUGACGGGUAGCCGGCCUGAGAGGGUGGACGGUCGCACUGGGACUGAGACACGGCCCAGACUCCUGCGGGAGGCAGCAGUGGGGAAUAUUGCACAGUGGGCGCAAGCCUGAUGCAGCGACGCCGCGGGAGGGAUGGAGGCCUUCGGGUUGUGAACCUCUUUCGCCAGUGAAGCAGGCCUGCCUCGUUUGUGGGUGGGUUGACGGUAGCUGGAUAAGAAGCGCCGGCUAACUACGUG